CCUACGGGAGGCAGCAGUGAGGAAUAUUGGUCAAUGGGCGAGAGCCUGAACCAGCCAAGUAGCGUGAAGGAUGACUGCCCUAUGGGUUGUAAACUUCUUUUAUAUGGGAAUACAUUGUUGCACGUGUGGGAUUUUGUAUGUACCAUAUGAAUAAGGAUCGGCUAACUCCGUGCCAGCAGCCGCGGUAAUACGGAGGAUCCGAGCGUUAUCCGGAUUUAUUGGGUUUAAAGGGAGCGUAGGUGGAUUGUUAAGUCAGUUGUGAAAGUUUGCGGCUCAACCGUAAAAUUGCAAUUGAAACUGGCAGUCUUGAGUACAGUAGAGGUAAGCGGAAUUCGUGGUGUAGCGGUGAAAUGCGUAGAUAUCAGGAAGAACACCGAUUGCGAAGGCAGCUUACUGGACUGCAACUGACAUUGAGGCUCGAAAGUGUGGGUAUCAAACAGGAUUAGAUACCCGGGUAGUC
rnacentral:rRNA from 1 species